rnacentral:rRNA from 1 species
UAAUAGGUCUGGCCUGCCCAGUGAUAAAAUUUAACGGCCGCGGUAUAUUGACCGUGCAAAGGUAGCAUAAUCAUUAGUCUUUUAAUAGAAGGCUGGAAUGAAAGGUUUAACGAGAAAUUAACUGUCUCAAUUACAAACUUGAAUUUAUCUUUUGAGUCAAAAGACUUAAAUAUAAUUGGGGGACGAGAAGACCCUAUAGAGCUUAACAAUUUUUUUUCUAUAUUUAUUUAGUUAAAUUAUUUAUAUAUAUUGGAAAAAUUGUUUUGUUGGGGUGACAAUAAAUAUAUAUUUAACUUUUAUCAUAACAUAAACAUUAAUUUAUGAUUUUUGGAUCCAAAAAUUUUGAUCAAUAGAUUAAGUUACCUUAGGGAUAACAGCGUUAUCUUCCCUCAGAGUUCAUAUUUACGGGAAGGCUUGCGACCUCG